rnacentral:rRNA from 1 species
AACGAACGCUGGCGGCAUGCCUAACACAUGCAAGUCGAACGAGACCUUCGGGUCUAGUGGCGCACGGGUGCGUAACGCGUGGGAAUCUGCCCUUCGGUUGGGAAUAACUGAGAGAAAUUUCAGCUAAUACCUUAUAAUGUCUUCGGACCAAGAUUUAUCGCCGAGGGAUGAGCCCGCGUAGGAUUAGGUAGUUGGUGGGGUAAUGGCCUACCAAGCCGACGAUCCUUAGCUGGUCUGAGAGGAUGAUCAGCCACACUGGGACUGAGACACGGCCCAGACUCCUACGGGAGGCAGCAGUGGGGAAUAUUGGACAAUGGGCGAAAGCCUGAUCCAGCAAUGCCGCGUGAGUGAUGAAGGCCUUAGGGUUGUAAAGCUCUUUUACCCGGGAUGAUAAUGACAGUACCGGGAGAAUAAGCUCCGGCUAACUCCGUG